rnacentral:rRNA from 1 species
UUGGAGGGCAAGUCUGGUGCCAGCAGCCGCGGUAAUUCCAGCUCCAAUAGCGUAUAUUAAAGUUGUUGCAGUUAAAAAGCUCGUAGUUGAAUUUCGGGGUUCUUCCGUUGGUCAGGCUAACCAGUCUGUACUAGCGUGUAGAAUCUCUACCUACUGGGGAACCAUCAUGUUAUUAAUUUAGCGUGGUGGGAAACCAGGACCUUUACCUUGAAAAAAUUAGAGUGUUCAAAGCAGGCUUACGUCUGAAUACAUUAGCAUGGAAUAAUAAAAUAGGACGGUGGUCCUGUUUUGUUGGUUUCUGAAUCACCGUAAUGAUUAAUAGGGAUAGUUGGGGGCAUUAGUACUCAAUUGUCAGAGGUGAAAUUCUUGGAUUUAUUGAAGACUAACUUCUGCGAAAGCAUUUGCCAAGGAUGUUUUCAUUAAUCAAGAACGAAAGUUAGGGGAUCGAAGACGAUCAGAUACCGUCGUAGUCUUAACCAUAAACUAUGCCGACUAGGGAUCGGACGAUGUUAAAUUUUAUUGACUCGUUCGGCGCCUUACGGGAAAC